rfam:Gossypium hirsutum cultivar TM-1 chromosome 18, whole genome shotgun sequence
AAUAGGAGAAUGACAAAUCAGAUUUUUCCUCUUGAUUUUUAGCUUUUUUCUCCUGAAAAAAAUUCAAAUCUAAUUAAAAAUACUAAAAGUCAGGAGGAAAAAUAUAAUUUGUCAUUCUCCUAUU